CGGCGGAAGGGCGCUGGGGAACCGGACGGGUGGCCGCGGGCCGGACCGAAAGUGUGGGGGAUAAGGGCCGCGCCGGACCGGAAAGCGGUGUCACUGCCGGCGCGGGAACGUAACCUGGACGGAAAUGUCGAGUCUUGAGCUGAGCUCUGGCUGGAUUGUUGUAUCGUGUGUGCUUUCCCACGCACAAAGGAGGUUGCUCCCGUUUCUACCUUUCACGAGCGGGUGGAGAAUCGCAAACUGAGCCAUGCGUGCUUAGGUGAGGCCACUCUGGAGCAAAUGAAGUUAAAAGCAUUCUCUGUUGUUCCCUGUGAAGGAAAGUUACACGGCUCAAAAUAGCCUGGAGUUAAAACUCCCCUCUGAGACCUCCCCACCAUUCUAUGCAAAACAGAACUCUCUCACCGGAAGGGAAAACAAUGGACAUUAAGGUUGAUUACACCCAGCUCCCAGCUGGUCCCAGUCUCUGGCUGAUCUCCAGAAUUCCUUGCCCCAGCCGGUUAAGAGAUAACUAGCCCAAACAACCUUGGAGAAGAACAGGCCCCCUUAAGACAGUAAAUGUCCACAUAUAUGCCUAUGUAUACUACUCAUUUCUUGGGUUAGUGCAGCAGCUCACUAAUCUCACCUCAUUAAAGGUGACCUGUUCCUGUACAGUGCCCCUCUCCUUCUUUUUCCGAACCUUACCUUCUCUAACUCCUUACACAUCGUUUGUUACCUGAAACAGAGCCACACCCAGACAGCUAUGACAUUGUGCUGUGCUGCCACUGGAAGAAUGGAAGAAUGAAAUCAACAUUUAGCCUUUGUGUUUUUAAGAUUGUGUUUUGCAGACAAAGUAAACAAACUUACGGUUACCAAAAGAGGAAAGGGGUGGGAAGGACGGAUAAAUUGGGAGUUUGGGAUUAA